GCAAGAAAAUGCAAAUAGGAAAACCACUCUUCUGACAAAGAGCUGAGAGGUAGUUGGAGGCCCACUGUGGGGGACAUGGUUAGUUUCCAAGUGGGGAACUGGACUAUUGACAGAUCUGGAAUCAUUUCUAAGUGUUCCUUCCACUCAGGCAUUAAGAAGACAUUUCCAAGGUUUAUACUGCUGUGAUCAAACAUCAUGGCCAAGCAACAUGGGCAGAAAAGGGUUUAUUUUGAUUUACCACCCUCAGGUUGAUGCAUCACUAAGAAGCAGCAGGGCAUUGACUCAAGGCAGGAAUUGAAGCAGAGGCCAGGAUGGAAGGAUGUAGCUUGUUUGUCAUGCUUUUGCUUAACCCCCCUUUUCAGAGUUCGAUUUUUGUGUCUGCUAUCACUGAGAUUAGAAAAGCUUCUGAGACGAAAGAAAGACAGAAGACAGCAUGACUUUCCUGCUGUACUCUAACUUACCUUUUUAUCCACAGCAGUUGAAGGAUUGAAUUUGGGAACCAGUGUUAUUCUCUCCCCUAAGGAGUGUGUUAAAUGAAGUAUGAUGACAUACAAUGAGGUGUGAUUGUUUCUGUGCCUUUUUUUGAAGCACAUUGCUUUGUCUCCAAAAUCGAGUACAUUCUCUUUGUAGAACAGCAAGCCCAUUAACCCUAGGCGUAGAGUGACAUUUGCCACCUAAAAACUUUGCAGUUUUUAGGACAGUUUUUCUCAACUUCAGCGUAUAAACAUAGGUAAGGACUUUCUGAAUAGGACCCUGUCAUUGAAGCAAUAAAACCAACAAUCAACAAACGUGAUCUCGGGACUGGAGAGAUGGCUUGGUGGUUAAGAGCUCUGACUGCUCUUCCAGAGGAUCCGGGUUCAAGUCCCAGCACCCAUAUGGCAGCUCACAACUGUCUGUAAAAAGUUUCAGGGGAUCUGACACCUUCACGCCAAUGCACAUAAAAAAUAAAGUUAAGUAAGUAAAAAAAAUUCUUAAAAAAAAAGUGAUCUCAUGAAAUUAAAAAGCUCUGGUGUAACAAGAAUAGCUAGUCAAGCAAAGAGACAACCUACAGAAUGAGACAAAACCUUCACCAACUAUAAGUAUGAUAGAAGACAAAUAUCUUAACAAGGAAACAAGCAAGCCAGUUUUAAAAUAGCCUUAAAAAUGUAAUAAUCAUUCUUAAAAGAAGAGAUGCAAAUGGCUAAAAAAAGUUAGUGUUAAACAUUCUUAGUCAUCAGGAAAAUUCAAUUUUAAACUGUUAAGAGAUAACGCAACCAUAAUAGGAUGGCUAUCAUCAAUAAAACAAAUGACAGCCAAUGCUGGCCAAAAUGUGAGGAAAGAGUAAUCCUUAUCUACUAUUGAUGGGAGUGUAAACUGGCAGCCACUGUAGAACACACUAUGGAGGUUUCUCAGAAAGAUAAAAAUGGAGCUACCAUAUGACCCAACUAUAUCUCUCUUGGGCAUAUAUACCCAGGACUCUAUAUUCUACCAAAGAGAAACUUACAUAUCCAUGUUUAUUGCUGGUCUAUUCACAAUAGCAUGAAAAUGGACUCAGCCUAAAUGUUUAUCAACUGAUAAAUGAACAAUGUAAAGGUGAUAAUAUAUGUGUGUGUAUGUGUAAUGUAUACUUACUCUGUGUGUGUAUGUAUGAUGGAAUUUUAUCAAUCACAAGGAAAAAUGAAAUCAUCCAAUUUUCAGAAACCUAAGUGGAACUGGAAAAUAUAUUAAAUAGGCUUAUGAUGCCAGACAGAGAAGACAGAUCCCUGGGGUUUACUGGCCAGUCAGCCUAGCAUACUUGGUGAGCCCAGGUCAGUGAAGGAUCCUAUA